rnacentral:rRNA from 1 species
GACGAACGCUGGCGGCGUGCCUAAUACAUGCAAGUUGAGCGCUGAAGGUUGGUACUUGUACCGACUGGAUGAGCAGCGCACGGGUGAGUAACGCGUGGGGAAUCUGCCUUUGAGCGGGGGACAACAUUUGGAAACGAAUGCUAAUACCGCAUAAAAACUUUAAACACAAGUUUUAAGUUUGAAAGAUGCAAUUGCAUCACUCAAAGAUGAUCCCGCGUUGUAUUAGCUAGUUGGUGAGGUAAAGGCUCACCAAGGCGAUGAUACAUAGCCGACCUGAGAGGGUGAUCGGCCACAUUGGGACUGAGACACGGCCCAAACUCCUACGGGAGGCAGCAGUAGGGAAUCUUCGGCAAUGGACGAAAGUCUGACCGAGCAACGCCGCGUGAGUGAAGAAGGUUUUCGGAUCGUAAAACUCGGUUGGUAGGGAAGAACGUUGGUGAGAGUGGAAAGCUCAUCAAGUGACGGUAACUACCCAGAAAGGGACGGCUAACUACGUG